GCCGAAGUGGUGGAAUGGCAGACACGCUAGCUUGAGGUGCUAGUGGGGAGACCCAUGGGGGUUCGAAUCCCCCCUUCGGCACCA
rnacentral:tRNA from 7 species